CCGAAUCGAGAUCAGCAUGUCAAAGAUCUAGAGCCGCACCAAACAACUCUGCUUUUGAGCAAAAUCCAAAUGCAAGCAUCCCUUCUGGUCAAUACUCCAUUGCAGAGCUUGGUGACCACGCCCAUGACUUGGAACCCAAUGUGUCCUCUACAGACUUAUUCAGAAACACCGAAUUGAGAGCAGUGACUCAGUCAUCCAGUCCCACACCAAACAGCCCUGAGCAUGAGGUGCAUUGUGUCAGAGGUCAAUGUAACACUUCUUCUGCGAAAGAGGGGUUUGGAGAAAUUCCUGUCCAGCACCAGGAGAUUUCACCCCCUACGUUCUCAACAGAUCUUA